CAGGUGUUAGGGUGGAGAGUCAGGUGUUAGGGUGGAGAGUCAGGUGUUAGGGUGGAGAGUCAGGUGUUAGGGUGGAGGGUCAGGUGUUAGGGUGGAGAGUCAGGUGUUAGGAUGGAGAGUCAGGUGUUAGGGUGGAGAGUCAGGUGUUAGGGUGGAGAGUCAGGUGUUAGGGUGGAGGGUCAGGUGUUAGGGUGGAGAGUCAGGUGUUAGGAUGGAGAGUCAGGUGUUAGGGUGGAGGGUCAGGUGUUAGGGUGGAGAGUCAGGUGUUAGGGUGGAGAGUCAGGUGUUAGGGUGGAGAGUCAGGUGUUACGGCCCGUCCACACGGCGGCGUGCGUUGAAGCUUCAACGCUUCUGCCCGUUCACUUUGAAUGGGGUGACGUCACGCUUCGCCGAACUGCAUUGUGGGAGCGUCGCUACGCGUUGCUCGCUGCAAAAGUUGAGCAAUGUUCAACUUUUGAAGCUUCAGCGGAAGCAUCAGCCAAUCAAAACAUAUGCCAGUACAAGCUCUAGCCAAUCAAACCGCGUGCUUGUGUGUCUGGGGCGGGAG